rnacentral:rRNA from 1 species
CAUGCCGUAAACUUUGGGCGCUAGGUGUGGGGACUUUCCACGGUUUCCGCGCCGUAGCUAACGCAUUAAGCGCCCCGCCUGGGGAGUACGGCCGCAAGGCUAAAACUCAAAGGAAUUGACGGGGGCCCGCACAAGCGGCGGAGCAUGUUGCUUAAUUCGACGCAACGCGAAGAACCUUACCAAGGUUUGACAUCACCCGUGGACCUGCAGAGAUGUGGGGUCAUUUGGUUGGUGGGUGACAGGUGG